rnacentral:rRNA from 1 species
UAAUACAGAGGGUGCGAGCGUUAAUCGGAGUUACUGGGCGUAAAGGGCGCGUAGGCGGUUGUGUGAGUGUGAUGUGAAAGCCCUGGGCUUAACCUGGGAAGUGCAUCGCAAACGACAUAACUGGAGUAUAUGAGAGGGUGGUGGAAUUUCCGGUGUAGCGGUGAAAUGCGUAGAGAUCGGAAGGAACGUCAAUGGCGAAGGCAGCCACCUGGCAUAAUACUGACGCUGAGGCGCGAAAGCGUGGGUAGCGAACAGGAUUAGAUACCCUGGUAGUCCACGCUGUAAACGAUGAGGACUAGAUGUUGUUAGGGUCACCUAGCAGUAUCGAAGCUAACGCGAUAAGUCUUCCGCCUGGGAAGUACGGCCGCAAGGUUG